rnacentral:rRNA from 1 species
UACAGAGGUCUCAAGCGUUGUUCGGAUUCAUUGGGCGUAAAGGGUGCGUAGGUGGCGCGGUAAGUCGGGUGUGAAAUUUCGGGAGCUUAACUCCGAAACUGCAUUCGAUACUGCCGUGGCUUGAGGACUGGAGAGGAGACUGGAAUUUACGGUGUAGCAGUGAAAUGCGUAGAUAUCGUAAGGAAGACCAGUGGCGAAGGCGGGUCUCUGGACAGUUCCUGACACUGAGGCACGAAGGCCAGGGGAGCAAACGGG